rnacentral:lncRNA from 1 species
GUAAACAUAUCCAGAGGAGUACUUGGUACAUCAUUCUGAAAGCCGCUGCCAGUCCCCCACAGUUCUAUCAUAUGGUUCCCUGACCAGGAACGGCAGACAAGAGACUCCUGGGGCUUUCUCAGUUUGAGUCCCCUGCCAUUCAUGACUAGGACCGGACUGCAUCCUGCAUUAAUUCCUCACUUCUACACUCUGGAGCUGUAAACUUGUCAUUGCCGGUUCACAAACAAUACUGACCCAAUUUACCACAGGUGAGCAACCUCCCAGAGAUUGCCUCUGGGCCAGGCCCCAGGUGGGUUUUCUCCCCC